CUGGUUGAUCCUGCCAGAGGUCACUGCUAUCGGGGUUCGAUUAAGCCAUGCGAGUCGAGAGGGUUCAGACCCUCGGCGGACUGCUCAGUAACACGUGGAUAACCUGCCCUAAGGUGGAGCAUAACCCCGGGAAACUGGGGAUAAUACUCCAUAGGUUAGAGAUACUGGAAUGUUCUUUAAUCGAAAGUUCCGGCGCCUUAGGAUGGAUCUGCGGCCGAUUAGGUAGUUGUUGGGGUAACGGCCCAACAAGCCUGUAAUCGGUACGGGUUGUGGGAGCAAGAGCCCGGAGAUGGAAUCUGAGACACGAUUCCAGGCCCUACGGGGCGCAGCAGGCGCGAAAACUUUACAAUGCAGGAAACUGUGAUAAGGGAACCCCGAGUGCCCGUAUACGCGGGCUGUCCGGGUGUAUAAAAAGCAUCUGAAGAAAGGGCCGGGCAAGACCGGUGCCAGCCGCCGCGGCAAUACCGGCGGCUCGAGUGGUGACCACUUUUAUUGGGCUUAAAGCGUUCGUAGCUGGACUCUUAAGUCUCCUGGGAAAUCCCGCGGCUCAACCGUGGGGCGUUUAAGAGAUACUGGGAGUCUAGGAACCGGGAGAGGUAAGAGGUACUUCGGGGGUAGGAGUGAAAUUCUGUAAUCCUCGAGGGACCACCGAUGGCGAAGGCAUCUUACCAGAACGGCUUCGACAGUGAGGAACGAAAGCUGGGGGAGCGAACGGGAUUAGAUACCCCGGUAGUCCCAGCCGUAAACGAUGCGCGUUAGGUGUACUGGUGACCACGAGUCACUGGGGUGCCGAAGGGAAACCGUGAAACGUGCCGCCUGGGAAGUACGGUCGCAAGGCUGAAACUUAAAGGAAUUGGCGGGGGAGCACCAC
rnacentral:rRNA from 1 species